GGCUCCAUGGUCUAGUGGUACGAUACUCGUUUCGGGAUAAACACCCGGUCUCUUCAGGAGUCUUCAUUAUGAGUGGUCCCGGGUUCGAGUCCCGGUGGAGCCC